GAUGAACGCUGGCGGCGUGCCUAAUACAUGCAAGUCGAGCGAACAGACGAGGAGCUUGCUCCUCUGACGUUAGCGGCGGACGGGUGAGUAACACGUGGAUAACCUACCUAUAAGACUGGGAUAACUUCGGGAAACCGGAUCUAAUACCGGAUAAUAUAUUGAACCGCAUGGUUCAAUAGUGAAAGACGGUUUUGCUGUCACUUAUAGAUGGAUCCGCGCCGCAUUAGUUAGUUGGUAAGGUAACGGCUUACCAAGGCAACGAUGCGUAGCCGACCUGAGAGGGUGAUCAGCCACACUGGAACUGAGACACGGUCCAGACUCCUACGGGAGGCAGCAGUAGGGAAUCUUCCGCAAUGGGCGAAAGCCUGACGGAGCAACGCCGCGUGAGUGAUGAAGGUCUUCGGAUCGUAAAACUCUGUUAUUAGGGAAGAACAAAUGUGUAAGUAACUAUGCACGUCUUGACGGUACCUAAUCAGAAAGCCACGGCUAACUACGUG
rnacentral:rRNA from 1 species